AAGUCGUAACAAGGUUUCCGUAGGUGAACCUGCGGAAGGAUCAUUACGUUCAGUAGCCUAGCUACUGUCAGUGGGGCUCGUUAGUCUGCAUAGCUUAAACGCUGAUGAGCAGCAGGCCCCCCUUGUCUUCACCCUUGUUUUUUGCGUCCCAUGUUUCCUCGGUGGGCUUGCCCGCCGGCUGGACAAACUAUAACCUAUUUAAUUUCAAUCAGCGUCUGAAAUAAUUUAAUAAUUACAA
rnacentral:misc_RNA from 1 species